rnacentral:tRNA from 1 species
GGUAGUUCAGUGGCAGAAUUCUCAUCUUCUGUAUGGGAGACUUGGGUUUGAUUCCCAGCC